rnacentral:tRNA from 1 species
UCCCCAGUGGCUCAGUGGUAAAGAAUCUGCCUGCAAUGCAGGAGACACAGGAAACCCAGGUUCGAUCCCUGGGUUGAGAA